CAUUCCUGAGGGAGGGGGGUAACCUGCUUCCUCUGCCUAUGUGACUUGCAUCACAUACCUGGGUGAGGGGCUUGGGCUCCCUAUUGUUCUGAGCAAUACCAGUGUACCUGGCAACCAGUGAUGCAUUUCAAAUUGAUUGGCUAGCAGCCAACAGGUCAGCUGGCCUCAAUUGGACCAGGUAAAUGAGGUCAUAAGGUCUAUGUAAGUUAAGGGCUGCCCGGGAGGAGGAGCAGUAGCCAUGAUGAGAAUUGAGAGAGAGAAGCUGGACCAUCUGAAACUUGCUCUUUCUUGAAACUUAUGAUUACUGAACUGCCUGCCUCCAGAGGGAAUCUCCACCUGCCUAUGGAUGAUACUUAGGUGCACCGAUACACCGGUCCCAUAUUGCAUUGGCAUCAAUAAAAGGAAAGUGGACAUUGUCGGCAAUCAGCUUAUCAGACACAUCAGCCAAGAAAAUGUCAGUGAAAAACGCCGCGUGCACCCCAGCACCAACGCAGCCAGAAGCGCAGCUUGGAGAGCAGCAUCUGGUUGAUGGCACUGCACCCAGCAAGCUCGCUAAUCCAGUGCUUCUCAAACUAUCUGAUGUGGCGGACCUGGAAUUUUUUUUUCUAGUGGGCCAGGGACCGGUGCCCAGUUCAGCUGGUGGCAGCAACUGCGUGUAACAGUGCUACACAAAUGCACGACCAGCUGUUUCUUUCUCUUUCCUCACCUCGCAUGAUGUGACGUCACCUGGAGUGUUGGAACGUACGAACUGCGGUGCUAUGACAUAUCAAUGUUAUGUUCUGAAAAUAUAUUUUUCUUUCUUUCCUGGGAACUCGAUGCGGAACAGCAACCGGUGGCUCGCGGACUGGCAAUGGUCCACGGACCACCACUUUGAGAAGCACUAAGUCUAAUCAACAAGUAGUAUUGUAAGCACUCACAUACUGUCCAGAAGAUCAGAGUCCCGUAUCUGCAAAGCAAGCCUUCCACAGGUUUGGACAAUGAACAAGGCUGUCAGGAAUCAAGGGACCCGGGGCUAAGAAAAUGAACUCAAAGGAGAAACAGGCCAAAUGUCUAUUCUUCUCACUCAGCAGCUCACCCAGCACUCACUAACCCCUGCAUUCCAUCCACUUGUCUUUGUCACUCCUACACGUGUCUCUAGGAGUCUUAGCUAGGAACAGACUGCAUGACCAAAGAAGUCAAAGUACCAGUAUUUAAAAAAAUAUUUUCUACUUUGUUGCAGCCAAUAUCAUCACAAAUAGCAGUCAUCUCCGUUCAGAAUGCAAUUUAGUUUCCAUCACAAAUCCAAUUAAAGAUUCCCUCUAAAACCCAUAGGAAAAGCAGUGUUGGUUUCAAAACUAGUAGGUUCCAUCAGGUGGCUGAGGAACACCUUUUCUAAAGAAAAUGCCAAUUUGUUUCAUGGUGAGUUACAAAACUCAAGGGAAACCAGAACCAGAGUUUAUAUAGUUUACUGACUUUUGCAACUCUGUAGCAAAAAACAAACAAACCACAACACAGGAGGAAAUAAGAUUUAGUUCACUGCACUCCCCAACACUCAGAUGUAGCAUACAGCUCCAAUAUUUCACUGGCUGAAGAUUAAUUACAGAAGCUAUUAACAUAUGACUCAGCAGGGGGUACAUUAACUCACCCACAUGGAAUCGCAUCCCCAGGGUUCAGAGGAAAUGGAAUGUCCUUCCAAAGAUGUUCAGGGCUAGCGGUUAGUGAAGUCUCGUUUUGCAGAUCUGUCCCUUACCAGGAUUAUAACUGGCUAAGAAUCCUCUCUCAAAAAUCUUUAAGUGCUAUCAAAAUUACUAAUACAUCUCUGUUAGAUGCUCAGAAAUUUCAGAAUUACACUACAACACAGUGCCAAAUUAAUUAGCCCCCGCAAGCUGAAUAAGUAGUGCUGAGCCAGCGUGGGCCCAAUCUGGCCCAAGGACUGAGUGCAGCUCUGUGAAGCGUGCACCCAGGACGAGCCCCAAGUGCAGCCAUGCGUACACCUGGGACCAACCCUGAGCAUAGCUGCAGACAGCAUGUGCCCAACACUAGCCCAGAGUAGAUACCAGUGCACAUGUCCAAUUUCAGACCCGGGGGGAGCAGCACCAGGGGCUAUGCAUAUCUUUGGCAUCCCUGCACUACACUCCUCAAACUACACACCCCUACCCACCCUUAAGCCCCUCCCUUGAGUAGAGGCUAGGAAAUUGCAUGUGGAGACUUCUGCAUUGAAUAACACUUGUGGGCUGGCCUGGGGUAUCUUGGGGUUAAU